rnacentral:rRNA from 1 species
AACGAACGCUGGCGGCAUGCCUAACACAUGCAAGUCGAACGAGAUCUUCGGGUCUAGUGGCGCACGGGUGCGUAACGCGUGGGAAUCUGCCCUUUGGUUCGGAAUAACAGUUGGGAACGACUGCUAAUACCGGAUGACGACGAAAGUCCAAAGAUUUAUCGCCAGAGGAUGAGCCCGCGUAGGAUUAGCUAGUUGGUGUGGUAAAGGCGCACCAAGGCGACGAUCCUUAGCUGGUCUGAGAGGAUGAUCAGCCACACUGGGACUGAGACACGGCCCAGACUCCUACGGGAGGCAGCAGUGGGGAAUAUUGGACAAUGGGCGAAAGCCUGAUCCAGCAAUGCCGCGUGAGUGAUGAAGGCCUUAGGGUUGUAAAGCUCUUUUACCCGGGAUGAUAAUGACAGUACCGGGAGAAUAAGCUCCGGCUAACUCCGUGCCAGCAGCCGCCGUAAAAC